rnacentral:rRNA from 1 species
CUACGGGAUGCAGCAGUGAGGAAUUUUGCGCAAUGGGGGAAACCCUGACGCAGCAACGCCGCGUGAGCGAAGAAGGCCCUCGGGUCGUAAAGCUCUGUCAAGUGGGAAAAAAAUUCUUUGAUCAAUAGUCAAAGGACUUGACGGUACCACUGGAGGAAGCACCGGCUAACUCCGUGCCAGCAGCCGCGGUAAUACGGAGGGUGCAAGCGUUGUUCGGAAUUACUGGGCGUAAAGAGCGUGUAGGCGGUUUAGCAAGUCAGAUGUGAAAGCCCUGGGCUCAACCUGGGAAGUGCAUUUGAAACGGCUUGACUAGAGUGUGGGAGAGGAGAGUGGAACUCCUGGUGUAGAGGUGAAAUGCGUAGAUAUCAGGAGGAACACCCGUGGCGAAGGCGAUUCUCUGGACCAAUACUGACGCUGAGACGCGAAAGCGUGGGGAGCAAACAGGAUUAGAUACCCGAGUAGUC